rnacentral:rRNA from 1 species
UACAGAGGGGGCUAGCGUUGUUCGGAAUCACUGGGCGUAAAGGGCGUGUAGGCGGUCCGCUAAGUCUGAUGUGAAAGCCCGAGGCUUACCCUCGGAAGUGCAUUGGAGACUGGCGGACUGGAGUCCCGGAGAGGAGGGUGGAAUUCCUGGUGUAGCGGUGAAAUGCGUAGAUAUCAGGAGGAACACCGGUGGCGAAGGCGGCCCUCUGGACGGUGACUGACGCUGAGACGCGAAAGUGUGGGGAGCAAACAGG